rnacentral:rRNA from 1 species
ACCGUGCAAAGGUAGCAUAAUCAUUUGCCUAUUAAUUGUAGGCUGGAAUGAAAGGACAAACGAGAAUAAAGCUGUCUCCUUUAAGUCUAUAAAACUUUAUAUCCGAGUGAAGAAGCUCAGAUUCAGCUGCAGGACAAGAAGACCCUAUAGAGCUUUACCUUACAUAUUAUUCACAUUAAUACUACGGUUCGGUUGGGGCGACCAGGGGAUAUUUAUCACCCCAGAUCUAUAAGAUAUACCAAUCUAUAUAAUGAUCCUUAUUCAAGAUCAUCGAAUCAAGCUACCUUAGGGAUAACAGGCUAAUCCUCUUUUGAGAGCCCUUAUCGACAAGAGGG